UCUGAGGAAACACUACGAGAGCUGGAGCAGCUGCAACUGAUCAAGGUGCGGCCAGUACCGUCCUUCUUCCUGUGCCCGAUCCUCAAGGAAACCAUGGAUGAUCCUCAGGUGGCCGCGGACGGGGUGACGUACGAGGGGCGCGCCAUCCGCGAGUGGAUCGAGGAUGGCCGGGCCGUGGCCGACCUGAAGCUGAGGCACCUCGGCCUCACCCCCAACCACGCCCUCCGGUUCGCCAUUCAGGACUGGCGCUCUCAGCCCCAGUGGUGAAUGAUGAUGAUGAUGAUUCUCCAGCUGCUUUAGCUUGCAACUAGCUAGAUGGUAGAAUAUGUAGAGCCCCCUCCUGUGUAUAUACAUGCUUCUGCUACUUCUGUACAUCAGUGUGCUACUAGUUUAGUGUAGGUCAGUGCAGCGAAUGGAAUGUGUAUUUUUUUAAUUUUGUUUAGUUUUUUGGUGUACGGGUUAUUAUUUUUCCUGUUCAUUGGUGGUAUUUUUGUGUGGUCUGGAUAUUGUUGUUGUCCUUGUUUUGAGUUUUUGGAUGGAACAUCAAGGAUUCUUCCUC
rnacentral:lncRNA from 1 species